rfam:Jatropha curcas cultivar GZQX0401 scaffold391_121, whole genome shotgun sequence.
AUUUGAUGAUGAGGAUACUUUCUCAAUAGGUCCUUAAACCUUUCCCAUGCCUCAUAAAUUGACUCAGUCUCGCCCUGCAUGAAAGGAGAAACUUCAUUUAGUAUUUU